rnacentral:rRNA from 1 species
GAUGAACGCUGGCGGCGUGCUUAACACAUGCAAGUCGAACGAUGAAGCCCAGCUUGCUGGGUGGAUUAGUGGCGAACGGGUGAGUAACACGUGAGUAACCUGCCCUUAACUCUGGGAUAAGCCUGGGCAACUGGGUCUAAUACCGGAUAGGAGCGCCUACCGCAUGGUGGGUGUUGGAAAGAUUUAUCGUUUUUGGAUGGACUCGCGGCCUAUCAGCUUGUUGGUGAGGUAAUGGCUCACCAAGGCGACGACGGGUAGCCGUCCUGAGAGGGUGACCGGCCACACUGGGACUGAGACACGGCCCAGACUCCUACGGGAGGCAGCAGUGGGGAACAUUGCACAAUGGGCGAAAGCCUGAUGCAGCGACGCCGCGUGAGGGAUGACGGCCUUCGGGUUGUAAACCUCUUUCAGUAGGGAAGAAGAGAAAGUGACGGUACCUGCAGAAGAAGCACCGGCUAACUACGUG